rnacentral:rRNA from 1 species
GUUUGAUCCUGGCUCAGGACGAACGCUGGCGGCAUGCCUCAUACAUGCAAGUCGAACGGCGAGAGUUGGGAGUUGAGAAGUUAGCUGGUGAGAGAAGUCUCAUUUCUAACUUCCCACCUCUCAACUCUCGCAGUGGCGGACGGGUGAGUAACGCGUGGGCAACCUGCCCUAAAGUAGGGGAUAACAUCUCGAAAGAGAUGCUAAUACCUUAUAAGAUCCUCUCUUCGCAUGGAGAGAGGAAGAAAGGCGUAAGCCGCUUUAGGAUGGGCCCGCGUCCCAUUAGCUAGUUGGUAGGGUAACGGCCUACCAAGGCCGCGAUGGGUAGCCGGCCUGAGAGGGCGACCGGCCACACUGGGACUGAGACACGGCCCAGACUCCUACGGGAGGCAGCAGUCGGGAAUAUUGGGCAAUGGGGGAAACCCUGACCCAGCAAUGCCGCGUGAGUGACGAAAGGUCUUCGGAUUGUAAAGCUCUGUCCUUGGGGAAGAAGAAUGACGGUACCCAAGAAGAAAGCCACGGCUAACUACGUGCCAGCAGCCGCGGUAAUACGUAGGUGGCAAGCGUUGUCCGGAAUUAUUGGGCGUAAAGGGCGAGUAGGCGGCCAGUUAUGUCAGAUGUGAAAGGCUAGGGCUUAACCCUAACAUGGCAUUUGAAACUGAUUGGCUUGAGUGUAGGAGAGGGAAGCGGAAUUCCUAGUGUAGCGGUGAAAUGCGUAGAUACUAGGAGGAACACCAGUGGCGAAGGCGGCUUCCUGGCCUACAACUGACGCUGAUGCGCGGAAGCGUGGGGAGCAAACAGGAUUAGAUACCCUGGUAGUCCACGCCGUAAACGAUGGGUGCUAGGUGUGGGAGGUAUCGACCCCUUCCGUGCCAUAGUUAACGCAAUAAGCACCCCGCCUGGGGAGUACGGUCGCAAGACUGAAACUCAAAGGAAUUGACGGGGGCCCGCACAAGCAGCGGAGCGUGUGGUUUAAUUCGACGCAACGCGAAGAACCUUACCAAGGCUUGACAUCCCUCGCUAUUUUGUAGAGAUACAAAGUUCCCUUCGGGGACGAGGGAAACAGGUGGUGCCACGGUCGUCGUCAGCCUCGUGUCGUGAGAAUGUUGGGUUAAGUCCCGCAACGAGCGCAACCCUUGUACUUAGUUGCCAUCAUUAAGUUGGGCACUCUAAGUAGACUGCCGGUGACAAACCGGAGGAAGGUGGGGAUGACGUCAAAUCAUCAUGCCCCUUAUGUCUUGGGCUACACACGCGCUACAAUGGUCUGUACAGAGGGCAGCGACACCGCGAGGUGAAGCGAAUCCCAUAAAACAGAUCUCAGUUCGGAUUGCAGGCUGCAACUCGCCUGCAUGAAGUCGGAGUUGCUAGUAAUCGCGGAUCAGAACGCCGCGGUGAAU